GACAUAGUGAUUCCAAGUUUCAUCGUAUGAAUGGGUUCUGGAUUCUUAUCUAACAAUCGGUUUGGGAAUAAACUUUUCCUUAUAGCUGGAAAAUACUUAGCAUUAUGUAGCAUUGUGAUUUUCACUUAGUGUUGAUUAUUAUAGUUAGGUGCUUAAGUUUCCUGGUUAUUAUUUCUUUAGAAAUAACUAGUACUUGUGACUUGGUUUGUUUCAGGUAGAACAUAGUAUCA
rnacentral:misc_RNA from 1 species